rnacentral:tRNA from 2 species
GGGCUCGUUGCACAGCUUGGAUAGUGCGAAUGCUUGCGGAGCAUUAGGUCGAGGGUUCGAGUCCCUUCGGGCCCG